UGGGGAAUAUUCGACAAUGGGCGAAAGCCUGAUCCAGCCAUGCCGCGUGUGUGAAGAAGGUCUUCGGAUUGUAAAGCACUUUAAUUUGGGAGGAAGGGCAGUAAGUGAAUACCUUGCUGUUUUGACGUUACCGACAGAAUAAGCACCCGCUAACUCUGUGCCAGCAGCCGCGGUAAUACAGGGGGUGCAAGCGUUAAUCGGAAUUACUGGGCGUAAAGCGCGCGUAGGUGGUUCGUUAAGUUGAAUGUGAAAGCCCCGGGCUCAACCUGGGAACUGCAUCCAAAACUGGCGAGCUAGAGUAGGGCAGAGGGUGGAGGAAUUUCCUGUGUAGCGGUGAAAUGCGUAGAUAUAGGGAGGAACACCAGUGGCGAAAGCGACCACCUGGGCUGAUACUGACACUGAGGUGCGAAAGCGUGGGGAGCAAACAGG
rnacentral:rRNA from 1 species